AACCCCAACUCUUCUUCCCACCAACCCACCAACCCACCCGUUUCAGUAUAACAAAUUUGUUUAUUCUUCCGGUUAAAAUCCAUUUCCUAGAUUCAAAGAUCUUAGAUUCAAACUCAAUCCACCAAACUCUCCUAAAAUGGCUGCUGCUACAUCUCAUUCUUUGCAGGCAUCAACGAGAAUUGCUUCUACACGCCCUCAGCUUAAACCCAAUUCGGAUUCACAAAUUUCUAAUUCUCUCUCUUUCUCUUCUCAAUUGCGCAGUUUCUCGCUCAAAUCUUCACAAUCUACAACAAUGAGACAACUACAUUCACGGAGAGUAAGUGCAGCUGUAAGGACAGAAAGCGAUUCAGGCACAAUAGAGGUUGAUAUCUCCUUGAGCCCUAGAGUAAAUUCAGUGAAGCCUUGAAAGACCGUGGCUAUAACCGAUCAGGCAACUGCACUUGCUCAAGCUGGUGUGCCUGUUAUUCGGCUAGCAGCUGGAGAACCGGAUUUUGAUACUCCAGCAGUAAUAGCUGAGGCAGGAAUUAGUGCAAUUCGAGAAGGAUACACAAGAUAUACUCCUAAUGCGGGUACUUUAGAACUACGUUCAGCUAUUUGCCACAAGUUGAAAGAGGAGAAUGGAAUAUCUUACACACCUGAUCAAAUUUUGGUGAGUAAUGGGGCGAAGCAGAGUAUUCUUCAGGCAGUUCUUGCAGUUUGUUCCCCUGGGGAUGAGGUAUACUUUAAACUUUCUAAGCAUAUCUAUU